GGGGCACUGCCUCGCUUUGGGACAACUCGGGGCCGCAUCGACGAAAAAUCCAAACAUGUCUUCUGAAGCUGACACUAAACACAUCAAGAACUAAGGCAAUGGAUGGAAACUAUCUGAAUUCAAAUCCCAGCUCAGGCUCUUACCACCUGGGUGACCUAAAGGUCCUGUGGUCACCUCAAUCUCUGUCAUCUAGAUCUUCAUGCCAGUGGAUACUACAGAAGCAUCCACAGAUUCAAUGAAACAGGGAUCAAAAAUAUUCAGAAAAAAAUACAAAUUAGCAACACAACAAUAAAAAUAACACAAAUAAAAAUGCAAUACAUUAUGACAACUAUAUGAAAAGGUUACAUGAGAAUAUUAAGGCCAUUUUACAUAACAGACUUGAGCUUCCACAGAUUUUGAUUUCCAUAAGGGUCCCUGAAUCAAU